UACGUAGGGGGCAAGCGUUGUCCGGAUUCAUUGGGCGUAAAGCGCGUGUAGGCGGCCAGGUAGGUCUGCUGUGAAAACUCGAGGCUCAACCUCGAGACGUCGGCGGAAACCAUCUGGCUAGAGUCCGGAAGAGGAGAGUGGAAUUCCUGGUGUAGCGGUGAAAUGCGCAGAUAUCAGGAAGAACACCUAUGGCGAAGGCAGCUCUCUGGGACGGUACUGACGCUGAGACGCGAAAGCGUGGGGAGCGAACAGG
rnacentral:rRNA from 1 species